rnacentral:rRNA from 1 species
AUGAGAAAAGGGGGGUGGGCGAUGAAGCUUGUAUGGCUCGAACACUGUGGAAUGGGAGCCGUAUGGAAAAGGAGAGAGUUUUGGUUGGAUAGGAAAAAGCAUCGGAAGAUCAAGGAUUGGGCCAACCAUCAUAGGAAGUAUGUCGUGCAGUUCGCUCUUAGUGUGGAGCAAGCAAGGGCUGGAAAACGAGCCCAGCUUCGUGAGCACUGCCCGAUCGCGUUCAACAACUAUCUCACAUGGUUUCUUGCAAGUACCCGCGUGGAGGUAUGCAAGCCGGCGUAUGCUGAGGAGAUUCUGGAAGAACCCACCGUUUUUGAUGAGAUCAAGAAAGCAACUGAUGAGACCGAGACUAUUCUGGAAACAACCCCGGCUGGCAAAAGCGAUGGGGAAGGUGCACUUCGAGCAUUCAUUAAGCGCCAGGGUCAAAAGUUAAGGCGGCUAUCAAACCUUUUCGGUUGUCGAGACCCCGAGUAUGUAUCACCAGAACGGUCUAGGUCGGCGACACCAUCAGAUCCCGCUUCGGGGCAGGGCCAUGGUGAACCUUUGGAGGAUGAGGAUGUGGGUGUGGUCACCCAAGAGGUUGCUGAUGAUAUGACCGUGGGGACGUACCAGGCUCGGUUUGCAUACGAGUUGAAGCCUAGGAAGGGAAUCAACAAGUACACACCUGAAGACUUCACCCAAAGAUGCCAAAGAGGCAAAAGGACGGGCGGCACCUCGCGGAUGGCGGCUUUGGAUGACUAUGUAGAUGACAUGGCGGAGCCGGAGCGGGUUCCUCUUCCUAUGAAGGUGAAGAAGAUAAGCAUCAAGGGGGGGAGGAGCCAGCAAGCGCGGAAAGCACUAGUCAUUGUCCUUUAUUUAUAA